rnacentral:rRNA from 1 species
CAGCCGUAAACUAUGCGCGUUAGGUGUAUCGGUGACCACGAGUUACCGAGGUGCCGAAGGGAAACCGUGAAACGUGCCGCCUGGGAAGUACGGUCGCAAGGCUGAAACUUAAAGGAAUUGGCGGGGGGGCACCACAACAGGUGGAGCCUGCGGUUUAAUUGGACUCAACGCCGGGAAGCUCACCGGAUAGGACAGCAGAAUGAUUGCCGGGCUGAAGACCCUGCAUGACUAGCUGAGAGGAGGUGCAUGGCGUAGACGUCU